CUCUAACUUUGAUUCCAUUUGACCUGUUUAUAGCCUGCAUAUUCUAGCUUUGGGGGCCUUUUUUUCACUGAUACCAUGUAGACACUAUUUGACAGAACAGGUUUCUUUACAGAACAGAGGGUUUUGACAUUCUGCUGCCUCUAAUAAGCUCUCCUUUCUGCUUGGCUGAGAUCACUCAGAAGAGGAAAGAAGAAACCGUUGCUUUUGCUGUCCAAUUAUUGGAAGCUAGGCCAUGCGUGACUGCUUCACCUGCGUUAUUCAACUCCUGCCUCACAGCAACCAGCACUCUUUCCAUCUUACCUGCUUUGGGUGUCUAUUUCCUACCACUGGACUUUAAGAUCCACUGGACUCUCUCUGCUGAGGACCCAUAACAAACUCCAGGACCAGUUCCUUUUUUCUCUUGCACCCUGUGGAGUAUGUUUAUUGACUACAGAUGCUAAGCACUUUGCUAAGGAACAGAAAGCUGCAAGAUAGAAUAUGUACUUCACCUGAGUGGGUGCAUGGAAACCGGCCGUGUGUCUGAAUCUGUAAGAACUCAAGUGGAACGUACGCUUACAAGUUUAAAGGUCAGAAUCACAACAUACAGACUUGAAUUGGAAUGACUGCAAGACAGCUUCAGGAUUAUAAGACUUCUAUGUAAAAGAAGUUAAUAAAAGACAUAUUAAGGUAAGUCCCUUAUAAUUAUGAUUUUGAACAAACUGCUUUAAAUUAUGCUAUAGCAUGAAAAAAAAAGGGGGGAUAUAAGAAUCGUGGGGCUCAGAGCCCAGAACAACAGCCCAGGGCAGUCAUAAAGAUGAAACUAUGCGUGCACCU